rnacentral:rRNA from 1 species
CCUACGGGGUGCAGCAGUCGAGAAUCAUUCACAAUGGGGGAAACCCUGAUGGUGCGACGCCGCGUGGGGGAAUGAAGGUCUUCGGAUUGUAAACCCCUGUCAUGUGGGAGCAAAUUAAAAAGAUAGUACCACAAGAGGAAGAGACGGCUAACUCUGUGCCAGCAGCCGCGGUAAUACAGAGGUCUCAAGCGUUGUUCGGAAUCACUGGGCGUAAAGCGUGCGUAGGCUGUUUCGUAAGUCGUGUGUGAAAGGCGCGGGCUCAACCCGCGGACGGCACAUGAUACUGCGAGACUAGAGUAAGGGAGAGGGAACCGGAAUUCUCGGUGUAGCAGUGAAAUGCGUAGAUAUCGAGAGGAACACUCGUGGCGAAGGCGGGUUCCUGGACAUUAACUGACGCUGAGGCACGAAGGCCAGGGGAGCGAAAGGGAUUAGAUACCCGAGUAGUC